rnacentral:rRNA from 1 species
UUCCGGUUGAUCCUGCCGGACCCUACUGCUAUCGGGGUGGGACUAAGACAUGCGAGUUGAGCGUCUCUAAGCUAUGGUAGAGACGCGGCGUACGGCUCAGUAACACGUGGCUAACCUACCCUUAGGACGGGGACAACCCCGGGAAACUGGGGCUAAUACCCGAUAGGCGAGGAGGCCUGGAAUGGUUCUUAGUCGAAAAGGCGUUGAAACCAUGCUUUUCGACGUUGCCUAAGGAUGGGGCCGCGCCCGAUCAGGUUGUUGGUGGGGUAACGGCUCACCAAGCCUAUAACCGGUACGGGCCGUGAGAGCGGGAGCCCGGAGAUGGGCACUGAGACAAGGGCCCAGGCCCUACGGGGCGCAGCAGUCGCGAAAACUCCGCAAUGCGCGAAAGCGUGACGGGGCUACCCCGAGUGCCGUCCGCUGAGGAUGGCUUUUCCCCGGUGUAAUGAGCCGGGGGAAUAAGGAGAGGGCAAGUCUGGUGUCAGCCGCCGCGGUAAUACCAGCUCUCCGAGUGGUAGGGAUGAUUAUUGGGCUUAAAGCGUCCGUAGCCGGCUUAGCAAGUCUCCUGUUAAAUUCAGCGACCUAAUCGUUGAGCCGCGGGAGAUACUACUAGGCUAGGAGGCGGGAGAGGCCGACGGUAUUCUCGGGGUAGGGGUGAAAUCCUAUAAUCCCGGGAGGACCACCAGUGGCGAAGGCUGUCGGCUAGAACGCGCUCGACGGUGAGGGACGAAAGCUGGGGGAGCGAACCGGAUUAGAUACCCGGGUAGUCCCAGCUGUAAACGAUGCGGGCUAGGUGUUGGGGUGGCUACGAGCCACUUCAGUGCCGCAGGGAAGCCAUUAAGCCCGCCGCCUGGGGAGUACGGCCGCAAGGCUGAAACUUAAAGGAAUUGGCGGGGGAGCACCACAAGGCGUGAAGCUUGCGGUUCAAUUGGAUUCAACGCCGGG